UACGGAGGGAGCUAGCGUUGUUCGGAAUUACUGGGCGUAAAGCGCGCGUAGGCGGCUUUGUAAGUUAGAGGUGAAAGCCCGGAGCUCAACUCCGGAACUGCCUUUAAAACUGCAUCGCUUGAAUCCAGGAGAGGUGAGUGGAAUUCCGAGUGUAGAGGUGAAAUGCGCAGAUAUCAGGAAGAACACCCGUGGCGAAGGCGGUUCUCUGGGACGGUACUGACGCUGAGACGCGAAAGCGUGGGGAGCGAACAGG
rnacentral:rRNA from 1 species